rnacentral:piRNA from 1 species
UUGUGUGUGUUUCAACUUGGAAAAUCCU